AUGAAUUACCUCUGCAGCAUGAGCCUCCUGCUCCUGAAGCAUGUAAGCUACAAAGAUGAUAAAAACAAACAAAACAUUCAGUGUGAAUCUAAUUGUGAGGGCAGGCAGUAGAUGGAUAUGAAAGAGAGAGCCCACAGACACGAAAGAAAAGGCAGCAGAAUCAAGUUAGAUCAGUGCAGAGAUAUGAUGAUAGCCGGUACAGUUCACAGUUUUCAAUUUGGGCACAACGUUGGGAGAAAUUUAGGGAAGAAGUCAAGUCUAAAAUGCAUCCCAAUCAAGGUAUUUCCCCCAUUACCAUGCUAAUGCAAAGUAUAAUUAUUGUUGAAGAGGUCCAGGAAGCCACAAUGCUAAAACUUGAGCAAGGGACAAGGCUCCUCUUCUUUCAUCCAAAAUUGUAAAUGCAGAAACUCAGCUUGGACUUUUAUACUGCCAUCAUGUGCAUUUUGUUUUAAAACAUGAUUAGGAUACAAAGGAGAAUUAACUCUAGAUGGCUAUAGGUGCAUGCAUCCAAAUCAGAUCAUAUAAGUAACAAAAGAGACAAAAUCUGAGGAAAA